rnacentral:lncRNA from 1 species
AUCCAAUCGAAGGUUGGAUGAUCGAUGAUCGACGAUCUCCCUGAGGUGCUAUCUUCCUCGUAGAGAUCUGCUCCUGAUGACUGAUCAAACUCCUUCGACAGAUUACUCAAGCUCUUUCGAAGGAUGGAGAAGGACUUAGGAGGAAGUGAGGUGAUGAAAAAAGGUGAAGAGGAGACACUCUCUACUCUAAUUUUCUUUCUUCCCAAGAGCACACACCCUAGGUCUAGAACCCUAGAUCAAUACACAUG